UGAAUCACACAGUGGGUCAAGGAACAUGAGAUAGCACUAUAGCAGUCAUCUAGAAAUGUGUAAUACCUAGACCAAUCGGUUCUUUUGGAGAUAUCUGGAGACGAGACGACAAGAUCUAAGUUGGAAAGUUUUUUUCUAUAGAAAUCUAUGUGGACGUUAUGCGAAUUAAAGUCUCCAAAGAGAAGGCUUGGGCCAUGAGAGUUUAUAUAAUGAAAAAGCUGAUCCCAUUCUUGUGAGGAGUUUUACAGAGGUUAGGAAUCGUGGAAAAAUUUAAAGAUUUUCUAAAUAAAAAUACUGUUGCGACGGUAUGAAGAUGCCGCACUACAGCUCCGAGUUACAUCGUCGCGACGAUAUGAAGUUGCGGAAACGAGUUCCCGCGCUUCCGGUUGCCAGGAAGCAGCAAACUUUUGAAAUAGAAGAGAGCGCUUUGAGAACUCGAACAAAGAAGACGUUUCGUUAUAAGUCUCUGAGAUUAUCG